AAGAAACUAACAAGGAUUCC
rnacentral:snRNA from 1 species